CCCUGGUUAGCUCAGUUAGUAGAGCGCUCCACCUGUAAUGGAGAGGUCCUGGGUUCGAUACCCGGACCAGGCG
rnacentral:tRNA from 1 species